GACGGGACCGCACAAGCGGUGGAUGAUGUGGUUAAUUCGAUGCAACGACGAAAACCUUACCCACCUUGACAUGUACGAAGCCUUAGAGAUAGAGGCGUGCUCGAAAGAGAGCCGUAACACAGGUGCUGCAUGGCUGUCGUCAGCUCGUGUCGUGAGAUGUUGGGUUAAGUCCCGCAACGAACGCAACCCUUGUCAUUAGUUGCUACAUUCAGUUGGGCACUCUAAUGAGACUGCCGGUGACAAGCCGGAGGAAGGUGGGGAUGACGUCAAGUCCUCAUGGCCCUUAUAGGUGGGGCUACACACGUCAUACAAUGGCUGGUACAAAGGGUUGCCAACCCGCGAGGGGGAGCUAAUCCCAUAAAGCCAGUCGUAGUCCGGAUCGUAGUCUGCAACUCGACUACGUGAAGUCGGAAUCGCUAGUAAUCGUGGAUCAGCACGCCGCGGUGAAUACGUUCCCGGGCCUU
rnacentral:rRNA from 1 species